rnacentral:lncRNA from 1 species
UGAGUAGCUGGGAAGGUGAGGGCUGCUUCGCGGCUGAGUGUGCUCUAUGGACCAUGUGCUGCUAUGGAUGCCUGAAGUACUUGACCUGCAGGUUGGGAAGACUCAGCCAUCUCCAUGCUGGGCUGGAUUAAGUGCCUGAUGAGGAUGUGGUUUCAGCGAGUUGGGGUCAGCAUGCAGUCGGUUCUGUGGUCUGGAAAACCAUAUGGUUCAUCUCGAAGUAUUGUAAGGAAAAUUGGUACCAACUUAUCUCUGAUUCAGUGUCCAAGAGUUCAAUUUCAGCUUACCAGCCAUGCAACAGAAUGGAGUCCCACGCACCCAGGAGAGGAUGUGGUGGCAACUUUUGCUGAUGUUGGAUGGGUAGCCACCGAUGAAGGAGAAUGCUCAACAAGACUCAGGACAGAA